ACACCUGGUGAAGGGGUGUAGAUAGCCCUGGGACUACAGGUGGAAGCAAUUCAACUACGCAAUGUGAAAAGGUGGAGCCAGGGUCCACUGCUGUCUAACCUCAUUUAAGCACUGUCAGGAAGGAGCACCUGUAAUUAGAGAUCAUCUUCUUUGGAGUGCUUGGUGAGCCCUGAUCCUUGGAAAGGGGGAAAUUGUGGAAACAGUGACUCAUCUCUUCAAUAAUUUAUGCAGGAUAAUUUCUUGAAAAACAAGAUCAGCAAGGGCUUUUUCUUCUGAUUGCAGAGGAUUUGGUUAUAUAUUUUUGAAUAUUCAGAAAACAAGUUCCAGAAAACCACAGUGAAAAAUGUUAUUGAAAUAAAGCUCAGUCAUGAGGAAGUAUUGGAUUCUCUUGUUGUGUCCUGUUUAAAGCUAGAUCCAAGGAUCUAAGUACCUUGCAUGACUCAGCUGAGUCAUCCAAAGGCCUUACUGUGCAAUACUGAGGUGAUACUCAUGGGCAUAUGCCCCCAGAAGAAAGACACUCAUUAUGAAAUACCUAACUUCAAAACCACAAGCUGUCUGAAUUUUGGUUUCUUUUUCCUUUUAAUAAACUGCCACAACAUUUAA